GUCGAGCAUGCGAUGGCUGCAGCAGCUGGAGAACUCGGGAGGUCAUUAUGGCUCUUCACACACAGGAGAGAAGAAAGAGGGAGGAGCAGAGAGCAGAGGAAACUGAGCUGACAGCGCGUGGCCGGUCAGCCGCGGCGUGGUCUGUUAGAGGGAGUGGAAUUUACAGCUCUGCAGCAGCAUGAUGAGAAAAACUACUUCUCUGGGAACACCUCGGGAAAUGUAAGUGCUUCCCUCCCAAAAAACGGCAGGGAUGUGUGAAACAGUCGGACAGACAGGUGUAGGUGGAACAGGGAAAGUUGCUUUCAUGUGUAUGGAUCUGCUUGCUUGCUCGCUAGAAUACUGUUUCCACCUCCCUCGCUCGCUCUUGUGCCCUACCUUACGCUCUCCAUGUCUCUUGCUUUUCCAGUGCUGGUCAGGCAGCAGGCUGCUGCAGCACAGCACUCUCUGGCUCAUUACCUCCUCAUGGAUGCAGCACCAAAGACAUCUAAAAGACGGACUCAGAAACUCACUGUCCCUGAAGCGUGCAGCUUUUAUCUUGGAUCUUUUUCACUCUGAGGCACUUUCAGAUGGAAUACAACUCUUAUCGGGAUGGUUGCACACUUUGCCAAAACUCAAUUUUCCAGUGGCCAGCCAUAAUUACUGGAACCAUGUUUGGUGUUUCAAGACCGUUUUUGUAACAGCAGGGGGACAGGUGUAUGCUAGCCAUGGAGGGACAUUGGUGUCACAGUGGGACGCAAGUUUCAGGCCAGGUGGGGGGUGGAUCGGAUUUGAUGGAAAAACAGACGUGUUGGCAUAUUAAUUCGCUAGGGAGGGCGGUUCGGUGGCUGCUGGAUGUGUGUGUCAGUGAGUGAACCCACAACACCCAGGGUAGUAACCCAGUUUCUCUCUGUCUCUCUGCAUGCUUUCUAAUCACUAGGCAGGGGCAGAGCUGUAGUGCUGCAGUGCCAUCUCCCCCUCUCAACACACUCAUCCCUAAAUCUUUACUAACACUGUGGCGCCACAAGAGUCCAGCCAUACCUUGCCAUCAUAUCUAACCCCGUCAAGCACCACAAACCCAUCCAGGAUUUCCACCCCUGCCCAGAAUAGCCUGUCUAAGUGUCCUUCUGUUAUGUUUCCACCCCUGCACCUCUCAUUUUGGCCUGGUAUUGGAUAGGCUCCUGAGAGGAGGGGGAUGAGACAGGGCGGUGUUGACUUGUGGAAUGUGUGGAGCUGGAGCAAAGAUUCAUUAGAGAGCUACUGAACAUUUCAAGCUGCCAUGCAAACAGUUAUUGAUCUCUAGCACACAGCAUUAGAGCUCUACAGAAGCUUCUAGAAUAAACACACCCAGGUCAAAAAAAAAAAAAAAAAAAGAAUAUGGGGGGGUUGCAGGUAAAAAGAAGGGGAGUAGGAGAGGAGAAUCAGCACACUAGUGACCAAUCACUAUUGCUGAGUGGGCAUUAGCUCUUGCAUGUGACCUCUGGCCUGGUUUGUGUGGCUAAAGCCCAAAUCCUGCUCACAAUAGCUUCCUGUUCCACUUGGAUCAACCUCAUUUUUGGACCUCAGUAACCAUUCUGACAUACAACUGAGAAUGUGGUUAAACAACGGACAACCAGAUGGAAAACGGGUAAAAAGGAGAUGCAUACCAUGUUAAGGACACUGUUACAUUAGAAAUGUCUUUUUUUUUCUCUAAGGAGCCCUUUGAACUUUCAUGGACAAGAACUUCAGGCAACAAGGACAUCACAGGACCACUGUCCCCCUGGUUUUCAACAACAUUUUUAAAAAAAAUUUAGAAAAAGACUAACUUUUUACCCCCCCAAAAAAAAAUAUAUGGCACUUUUCUUUUCCAGAUUCCCUACGGAUACCCCAAACUCUCUCGAGGACAGCCAAGGUCAACAGAAGAUACAAAACUGAGUGAACCCCAAUAUGUGUUAUACGCACUUGGAACGCAGUGUUGGGAUAAGGCAAAAGAAAAAAGCGUGACCUAAAGAAUCUGUGAAAGUCACUUUAUGUAUAAUCCACUGCAUUCUGCAGGAUGGUUAAAAAAAAAAACCCCGCCACUGAUCUACUGAUGUGAUUAAACGUGUUUGGUUUAAAUAAGGGCCACGCUAACCAAACAUCACAUCAAAGAAGGUAAGGAAACUCAGCUGUGCCUGGGGCUGCCUACUUGGUGUACAUACUUCUUUAUGUGCCCAUAUGAACAUAUGACAGCUAUGGAAUGUAAAGAAGUAUGUAUUCUUGGUCAGGUGCUGAUCCUCAGUUUACAAAAUGUGUCAAUUCUCUGCAUCACUGAAUAUGGGUACAUGGAAACCGUGUGAUGGAUUUUGUAACUGGGGUGCAGAAACUUACUGCAGCAGUGGAUUCUGAGAGAAGUUGCUGCUCUUUCAGUGACUUCACCAGCAGUCCACACCAGCUCUCCCUAAUUUAGCAACUGACAUGCUGUGACAGAUUGUCAUGCUAUAGUUCAUUUCUGCAGACUAUGGGUAGAUAAUGGUUUGUAGUGCCCAUGCCCACUUUCUUGGUGAAAGAAUGACUUCAGUCACUGCUUCCUCAAAGAUCCAAUAACGGCUCGAGACAUCGCCAUAGGAACAGGAGCUCCUUUCAUUAUUGGAGGGUUUGCUGCAUUCUAAGCUUUGAAUUAUGGCCAGCUGCAACUAAGAUCCUGUUUUUGCAGGAGUGGCAUGUGCCAGAACCAUUAAUGCCUUCAUCUUUUCAAACUUGUCUAGAGAGGGGUAAGUUUAGGACAACUUCACUUUUUUUGUCCCUUAAACGUUUUAUCUCGCUACAGGGAAGCUGCUGAGGUAACAGUUCCAUAAAGGUGAGCAGAGCUUGGCUAUUAAAAAGGAAGCUUCUCUCACAUUGUGGGAUAGUACCGUUGUCGGUUUCACCCUGACACCCGUUUCUGCCCCUAUUGUUCAUGUUUGCUAGGCUUGCCAAAUGCUUUGCUGGACCACAGAGUAGUCAGAUUAGAGCAUGGAAAAGUGACAAUGCAGGAUCAGAGUUGGCUCUGCCUGUCAGCUGAUUCCAAUUGUCCUACAAAAGGUAGAAUGGGGGCCUCUUUUUCACUUUUGGACUGCUGGUGUGCAGCAGGUCACAAUAAAAAUCACUGUAAAAACAGCAGAAUGAAUGUACAAGUAGAACAAAUCAAUGCUGAACUUUUAAACCGAUCAACAGGUUAUCAAACAGUUGUGGGAGGGGACAAGAUAACAGAGGACAGUUAUACUUUCAGGGGUUUAAAUGCUUCCCUACUCUGGGUGUUUGGCGGCACACCACGUCAUCUAUCUACUGAGGUAAUACUUGAUUCAUGGUGAUGACUAAGGUCAGAGCACCGCUGCAAUUUCUUGCAUAGCAUCUGAUAAAAGCUUCUGUUUUAAACCUCUCACUCACUUGUGUUACCAAUCAAGAAAAAUUUCAAGUAUGCAUUGUGUGCAAAGAUACAGUAAGGAUUUUUGGUCAUGACUUGAGCCUGGGAGAGCUUGUGGCCUAUUUUUCUGAAUGUCAGACACUCCCGUCUGUCCUCUGUAGGGCUGUGCUCUUUCCAUUUUUGUGCACCGCUUGCUGUAUGGUUCGCUCCUGUCAGUCGUGUGGCUGUGUUCCCUCUUUCUCACCCUCAACCCCAGACUGAGUGACACCCACAGCAGAUGCUGACAUUAUCAAAUGUUCAGUUGAUGUCCCUGGCUUUUGCCCUCUUAUGGCCAGUGUAUUUGGGGGCCGAACUUUGUCCAAAGUUCUGCAAUCGAGUGUCUGUGUAACGCAGGGAGGGGGAUCUGUGGUGCAAAUAGCACUUUACUGACCCCUCUCUAAUGAGCGCCAUAUUGAGCAGCGAUGAACCCUUGCUGACACUCUCAGCUGGCCACCUGCUAAGGAGCUAAAGAUGCUUUUUGGCUGCCUCUAAGCUGAUGGACAGGUGACUGCAUCUUACAAAGCAACACUCUGGCUUGUUGCGCUCACUAUGCGUCACCAAAUUUUUUUGUGGAGUUGCUUCUGUCCCAGACUGUGACUGAUAUGUAGUACAAAUAUCUUUAUUAGUCACUGAGCAGUCUCAGAGGAGCUCUCACCACACUCCCUUAUUGUAUUAAGCGGGCAAAUUAGCCCUACAAUUUAGCUGAGUAUGACUGAAUCUUUUCCAAAUUUAGAAAGUGACAACUACAAACAGCAGCACAUGCUGACAUCUUGAUCGCCCAUGUGACACUGCCCUCAGCAGGCUCAAUCAGCUGCUGUAAUUGCUACAAGACUUGUGGACACUUGACUCAAGUGCACAACGAUAGAUUAUAUUUUUAGUACAUUCCUCUUUUUAAUAAAGAGAAAGAAAACCUUUGGAGUGCAGUGAAAUUAUUUUUCAUAGCUGUAGAGCCUGAAAUGAGCCCAUGUGACAUUUCAUGUCACGUUUCACAAAUUUUACUGCUUAAGGUCAUGAAACAGGGUCAAAUAAGCGGUUUAUUUUCAGUAUCAUUAACAGCAAACCACAAUGCUUUGCUAAAGCUGGUAAAAUGGAACCAAAUCACCUCUUCAAUGGAUUUGGUCCCCUUCAACCAGCUGUAGCUAUGCUUUGAUGACAACAUAAAUGAAUGGGUUUUAUCUUGCUCUUUUGCUUCCACAGGGAAUGAGAUUAUAUAUUCCAUUAAUUUGAGAGUGACAAAGUUUAUUCUAAUAAAUGUUAUUACAAAGUACUGUGAUUGCCUUUUCUACAAGCCAAACAUAUUUUUAAUAGGAAAAAAAAGUAGGUUAAAAUAUAAAUGCAUCAUUAGAAAGUAGGCAAGGAUACAAAGUUCUGAAAAGAAGGUAAUGUGACGCAAUGGGGAUGUAAAGUUGGGCUAAGACAAGACUGACAUCCACAUAACUGAACAGUACACAUGGAAACGGAGAGCAAAAGAAAGUCGAGGGAGAGGGGAGGACAGCAGUUGCAGCACAAGCUCACUGCGACACAUGCGGGUAGCCUGCGUGCCUCUCGGUAAGCCUGCUCUGCCUGCAGACAGGGGAGUGGAGAUGAAAGCCAGAUGCUUCUAAGUGUGGGGGGUUAUACACACAGAUCAUACUCAGAGAGAGUCCACCAAUUAUGGCGCUAUGGCACACUGACGCAGCGCAGGCAUGCGGUGUGAACCUCCCUCUCCUCUGCAUCAGAGCAGCAUCCUUCCUUCAGUCACAUGGAUCGCAACGCUGCAUCAUAAUUUCACCCAUAAUUACGCUGAUCUGCCACCAUGUCAUGCUGAACCUGUUCUGCACCUCCAUGCAUAUCAUGUAUCAGUUCAUAUACAGAGGUAAUUGACAUAUCCAUAUUGACAUGUUUAUGGUCUAUGUUGUAACUGCUGUGACUGGUCACUAUGAGCUAAGUGAAAUGAGCUCAUAAAAGGGUCAAUGACAGAUAAAGCGUAUACAAUAAGGAAAGGUCAAUUAAAAGUCAAAAUCUAGUUUAAAAUGUAAAAUUCUUAGAAAUGUUCGUGUUGGUUUUUAAAAACUGUUCUAUUCUAUCAUUUUUAAUAAAAUGUUGAAAUUUAAUGGUUCAUUCUAACAAACU